GACGAACGCUGGCGGCGUGCUUAACACAUGCAAGUCGAACGGAAAGGCCCUGCUUUUGUGGGGUGCUCGAGUGGCGAACGUGUGAGUAACACGUUAGUAACCUGCCCUUUACUUUGUGAUAACUUCAGGAAACUGGGGCUAAUACCUGAUAUGAUCUCCUGCUGCAUGGUGGUGGUUGGAAAGUUUCGGCGGUUGGGGAUGGACUCGCGGCUUAUCAGCUUGUUGGUGGGGUAGUGGCUUACCAAGGCUUUGACGGGUAGCCGGCCUGAGAGGGUGACCGGACACAAUGGGACUGAGAUACGGCACAGAAUACAACGGGAGGCAGCAGUGGGGAAGAGUGCAAAAUGGGAGGAAGCGUGAUGAAGAAAAGCAGCGAGCGGGAUGAAGGAAUUCGGGUUGUAAACAGAGGUAGAAUGUGAAGAAGAGUGAGUGACGGUAAUGGGUAAAGAAGCAACGGCUAACGACGUG
rnacentral:rRNA from 1 species